rnacentral:lncRNA from 1 species
AGAUUACCUGUAAAAAUUUAUUUAGAAUAUUUAUUCUUGUAUUUAAUUUUCUUGAUUGUCCAGUUUAUUGUAAGUUGUUGUAACAUGUCUUUAACCGUUCUUUCCUAAAACCAACCAUGCCAAUCCAAAUCAUGAUGGGUUUAUAUUUACUCAGAUAAAAUAAGAUAAGAUAUGACUUUAUUGAUCCCACAAUGGGGAAAUUCCUGUGUUUUUAGGAGGAAUUACACACACAUACUGUAGGUUCAGGUCCAGCUACUAUAUCCUGCAAAAGGUCACUUUGAAUAGAACCAGUGAUUAUCUCAAAUUAGAUUUAUGUUUUUUUUUUUUUUUUAUUAUUAUUGGGGAAUAAAAUUUGUUUUGUAAGUACACUUGUACUUAAAAACAUGUAUGAACAAAUAUCUUCAUGUUGUCAAUAAACUCACAAUGGCUGCUUUUUAUCCUUGUGUGUUUUAUAAUCAUUUCCAUCUGUCAAACACUGAAGUUGGUCUGAAGUAUCACAGAGAUGAGAAAUAAAAGGAGAAACCAGUGAAAUGAGGCUUAAAGACCUUCUUUGAGACUUAGCUUUGUUGCUAAGUCUUUAAUUUCACUUUCACCUUCACCAGUGUUGGCACUCCUCAUAGCUGAAACGUGACUCUUCAUUUAAACGUGACAUAUCUGUGUUUGUUUAUUCAGUCUUGACCUCAGUGGAAAACAAAAAUGAGGAAGAAAAUCCUCCAGAGUUUUUACAGUAAUUAGUUUAAUUGGCAGCUGAAGGUCAAACGGAUGUAAAAUGUCACUCUGCAAGUUUCUAGCUGUUAUCUACAGACUUAGUGUCAAAGACCUUUAUUAUUUCCUCUGACCUAAAACUGAGGCGGUCACAUAUAUAUACGGUGAAGCCUGGCGAGAGGCAGAACAGAGAGGAUGCACCAGUGGCACAUCACUGCAACCUUUGUUUUGUUUGAUUUUACAUUAAACACCAGCAACCGGUCACCAUGAUCGUCAAGGCUUGUAUCGUUAUCUUGCUACUAACUGUAUUUCACAGCCAGUUUGCUGAGGCAACUCUGAGAAGCCGGUGCCCGGUAACUCCAACAGACAGCUCGGUGGCGAAGGCACCAGUCUCUGGAUUAAACUGCGCAGUGUUAUCUCUCUACAAAUUCGUCCUGUUUCCUGUCACAUUCACCAUGGCAACAGUUCCGUAACAGUAUGAAAAUCGUAUAAAGAAUAUUUAUGUGAAUUUAUAUAUUUUUAACACAUAUGUUCCUCCUUAAAACUGUUCUUUAAGGCACAUCAGAGAUAUUAAAUCAAUACUGGCAUUUUAAUUAAACUGUGUCUGACUGGUUUGUAUUUAUUUAUUAACUACUGCACAGAAUAGUCAUGUAGUUACAGCUACUGUGUCCUGCAAGAGACCCUUGUAAAUUAGCACUAUUCUCAAUAUAAUCAAAUAAUUGCAAAAAAAAGACAGGCUACUAUAAAUUACACAUUUUCAUUGCGUUCCAGACCAGGACCAUUUUGUUUGAUGAGCUGAGGUUGUGGUUGUUGGAGGGCACGCAUGCUCAGCAAGGCAUAAAUAAAGUAAUACAAAACAAAUAAAUGUUGUUUCA